rnacentral:lncRNA from 11 species
AAAAUGUGUAAACCAUUAAAACGACUAUGAGUGUGGGAGAAAUCCUAACGGAGAAUUUACUCAUGAAUGAGUAUCAAGUUGUUGUUAACGUUUCCAGUGAAGGAAUUUGCCGCUAUUGGCACGUUCAUGAGUCAAUAUCGACCAGCCCGUACCUCCCCAGUCCUUCUUCGACGGAUGAGUCCGUAGCGCGCGCCCUAUUCAACGGAUCUCCAUCUAAACCAACGUACACUCUACGAAACCAAACGCGCAUUAACACAGCAUCUCCCUAGUCGGCAUCAGUAGGUCUGGAGGGUGCCACAAAUACAGUUGUAACUGCGUCGGUAAUGCCUCGUGGGAUGUGCAUAGUUUAAUCUGGUCUGCUUACGAGGCUCUGAUCGCAGCCGGCUGCGUUUCACCCAGCAAUGAAGUUAACCAGAUAUUUACGUGAAAAAAAAAAUAAUUUCAUGAACGUCGGUCAACGACUAACUGUUACAGGUCUAAUUGGCCUAACGGUAGGCACGAUUGCAACCUUUAUUUAUACGUACAUUGAUCUCAAGCUGACUCAGAGUGCUACUCGAGGAUCGCAGGAGUUGCAGGCAUUAACGCAGUCUAAACCGCAAAACUAAGGCGAGCUGGUCCACUCUACAGUCGGACCAUGGAGUACAUACUAUAUCUAUCAAGCGAGACAACUCAAAGCUCAAGUUUUUAUCGCCUGCGGAGAAGAAGCCGGGUUCUUCAAAUAGAACAAAGACGGAGCAAUAAAUCAUCUUUACUUCGAAGUCGACAACGUCAAAGCUCCUAUAUAACACAUUAAGAAGCGCGGAAUCAGGUAAAUAUAGCAUAAUAAUAAAAUAUAAACAACGUUUCCAUAUCGCUACUUAGCUACACGAAUACUUCAAAUCGACUUCGUUUCAUUUAAUGAUGUAACUAGCUCCUUACUGAAUAGCAGCCUAUUACGGGGUAAAAGUUUUUGGCUAUAGGAAGUCAAGAAUUACUCAUCUGGGUUUCAUGGACCUCCGAUACUUCCGUGUUGGAAGUAAUGACAGCGAUGUCAAAAUGAAGAAAAUCAGUGGAUUAUCUGCUCGCUUUUCUUGUCUCUUUGUGGUAAUAUAGAAGCAACAAUAUUUAAUUGGUUUGCAUUAAAACGUUCCCACAAACGCCGUCAAGGCAUAAUGCCUCAAAGUGAUUCUACGUUAACUUCAAAUUUAUUUUGAUAAAAGCAAAUUCUCUCUACAUUUAAACAUUUUAAAUGUUCAUUCUCAAUCGAAGCACGCUUGUGUUACAUUAUGAACUAUGUAUUCUCUGGUUUUCUGCUGCGCCUUGUCGCUUGCGAGCUACACGUGUCUAAGUGAAGAACCGGAAAUAGGAGCGCACGGGAAACCGGUAGUGUUUCUUCAUCCGAAGACUUGCGGCAGCGUUCUCGUGGAGCUUGAAGAAAUUUAGAUUUAUAAUCCAAGUUUAAAUUAUAAGAAUGUUGCCUGCUCAAUAGAACUACAUGCCAUGAACGCCUAUAUCUCCGGUUAUUGACGUCUUAUCGUAUAUUAAAACUGUAAUGUAAAAUAAUGUAAUAAAAAACCCUUU